UACGAAGGGUGCAAGCGUUGUUCGGAAUUAUUGGGCGUAAAGCGCACGUAGGCGGUUGGGUAAGUCUGUCUGUGAAAGCCCGGGGCUCAACCCCGGGACUGCAGGGGAUACUGCUCGACUGGAGACAAGCAGAGGUUGGUAGAAUUCCGGGUGUAGCGGCGGAAUGCGUAGAGAUCCGGAGGAAUACCAGAGGCGAAGGCGGCCAACUGGGCUUGUUCUGACGCUGAGGUGCGAAAGCGUGGGGAGCAAACAGG
rnacentral:rRNA from 1 species